UAUAGAGGCCCCAAGCGUUACUGAGAAUCACUGGGUUUAAAGGGUGCGUAGGUGGUCCGUUAAGUUCGUUGUGAAAUCCCUGGGCUCAACCCAGGAAAUGCUUCGAAUACUGGCGGACUUGAGGCUAGUAGAGGUCACUGGAACUGACGGUGGAGCGGUGAAAUGCGUAGAUAUCGUCAGGAACGCCGAUGGUGAAGACAGGUGACUGGGCUAGUUCUGACACUGAGGCACGAAAGCGUGGGGAGCGAACGGG
rnacentral:rRNA from 1 species